CUUUAAAUUCAGUUGAAAAAUUUCCAGGAUUCAAUGUUAUAUUUCCAAAAGUGAACAUCAAAAAAUUGAAAUUGGUAAACAAUGUUCUCAGCAGUCUAUAGCAAGCCAAGGAUUUGUAUAGUAAAUCCUUGAGCAAGCAAACCAUAAAAUGGCUGUUCAGAAAAAAUCAAGGAUUUGUAUGGUAAGAUGUUACUAUACAAAUACUUGAAAAAAUAAAGGUGAGGGAUCUCAGAAGGAAAAUCAACAUCUAUAAAAUUUAAUGGAUUUCCUAUAUAUUUGAACUGUAUGUAAAAAAUAAUCAUCACCACUUAUCAAAUGUUAAUAGUGGUGCCCUCCAGCUAAUAUUUCUAUGAAGACAAUAUAGAAGAAAAAAUAACCAAAUCUGUAUUUUACUACCUUUUGUGGAUAUGGGCAUAUUAUAAGGUAAUAAAGAAACCUCAACUUUGUAAUAAAUGUCUAAUCAAUUUAUAUGUCUAG
rnacentral:lncRNA from 1 species